AAUACUUUUGAAGGCAUCUUGGGGCUUUUUGGCAUGCUUCCUGACAUUAUAUCUCACGUUCCGGCCUCGCAAUAUUUUGGCAACGAUUCUACAGCAUCCAAUAAUGCUGGUCGCAUCCAAACUAUCCUACUGCGUAUACGUCGUCCAAUACACAGUAGUUUACGCGAUCUACCGCAAUAUCACCUUCCCGCUAAUGAGCAGCGUCUUCACCAUGAUACUAUUAACAUCCUCAAUAUUGUUCGUCACACUUAUCAUGGGCUUGCUGCUUCAUGUUUGCAUUGAAAUGCCUGUUAUGACUUUAUGCAAACCCCUUCUUGCACUGAAACGUUCAAACUAAGGGCAACAGAUACAAUGUACAAACAAUGAUUUGACCGAUGGAAGGAGUCUUUACCGAUCAUAAGGGCAAAUGUGUAUUCAAAU